AGCGUUGUCCGGAAUCAUUGGGCGUAAAGAGCGUGUAGGCGGCCCGGUAAGUCCGCUGUGAAAGUCGGGGGCUCAACCCUCGAAUGCCGGUGGAUGCUGUCGGGCUAGAGUGCGGAAGAGGCGAGUGGAAUUCCUGGUGUAGCGGUGAAAUGCGCAGAUAUCAGGAGGAACACCAAUUGCGAAGGCAGCUCGCUGGGACGUAACUGACGCUGAGACGCGAAAGCGUGGGGAGCAAACAGG
rnacentral:rRNA from 1 species